rnacentral:rRNA from 1 species
UGGGGAAUUUUCCACAAUGGGCGAAAGCCUGAUGGAGCAACGCCGCGUGUGUGAUGAAGGUCUUCGGAUCGUAAAGCACUUUCGACCGGGACGAAAAACCUCUGGCUAACAUCCAGGGGCCUGACGGUACCGGGAGAAGAAGCACCGGCUAACUCUGUGCCAGCAGCCGCGGUAAUACAGAGGGUGCAAGCGUUGUUCGGAAUUAUUGGGCGUAAAGCGCGUGUAGGCGGCUUGGCAAGUCAGAUGUGAAAGCCCAUGGCUUAACCAUGGAAGUGCGUCUGAAACUGCUGAGCUUGAGUGCCGGAGAGGAUGGCGGAAUUCCGCAAGUAGAGGUGAAAUUCGUAGAUAUGCGGAGGAACACCGGUGGCGAAGGCGGCCAUCUGGACGGCAACUGACGCUGAGACGCGAAAGCGUGGGGAGCAAACAGGAUUAGAUACCCUGGUAGUCCACGCUGUAAACGAUGAGAACUAGGUGUCGUGGGUGUUGACCCCCGCGGUGCCGUAGCUAACGCAUUAAGUCUCCGCCCUGGAAGUACCGCG